GACCGAGAAACGCGAGGAAUGCAGGCAUUUAC
rnacentral:scRNA from 1 species